AUUUGUUCUACCAUCUCAAACUGCAUGUACAUCUCAAGACACUUGGCAGAUAAAUUAUUUGGUUUGUGGGCGGCCAGAAAAAAUUGAUAAUGUUUUUUUAACACGGACUGGAGUGACAGUUUGGUAACUGGCUCUCUGAGAGAGCUUUCAUGUGUUCCAAAAAUUGGCAGCUAGCUCUAGAGUGAGCUAAUUAGUUAGGAACGAUUUUCAUCCUCAGUACCUUUAAUAGCCUACCCUUGGAGACAAGACAGAUAAUGAGCACUUGGAAAUCAGUAGUGCUGCAACUUGACCUUAAUGUAGUUUGGGGGAAAUAAGAAGGGUGAGUCAUGAUCUGUUAUUGAAGAUCAUCCUUUUAAAAGGCUUUGUGAAGGAUUUGACAAAUAAUGAUUGCUCCUGUAUAGGAACUAUCAUAAUCAAAGAAGCAGAAAACAGGAAAGAAAACUUAAUGUGACUAAGCAGUGUUUAAUUUGUUUGAAACUGGCUCUACCACCCUGCUUUAUGCAGUCUUCACAGGGCAAGAAAUCCGGCUUGCACCAGGGUGUAAUGGAGCGACACCCAUGCCUGAUACCACGGAAAUGGAGUCCACCAAUGCUUCUCUUUAUGUGCUUUCUCAAGGGGGCUCUCGCUGGCAGACUGUCCAAGGAGAAUUAGGAGAAUUCCACAGAAAUGCCCAUGUACCAGGAAGAGGCGAACAGCCAGAGGUGGUUGCAGGAUAGCUAAACAGAUAUACAACCAUGAGAGGUGCCAGCUCCCCUACCUAAGGCACCCAUGAUUUCCACCAAGGAUUCUCUU